rnacentral:rRNA from 1 species
AUUGAACGCUGGCGGCAGGCCUAACACAUGCAAGUCGAACGAGUGGCGGACGGGUGAGUAAUGUCUGGGAAACUGCCUGAUGGAGGGGGAUAACUACUGGAAACGGUAGCUAAUACCGCAUACCAUCGGAUGUGCCCAGAUGGGAUUAGCUAGUAGGUGGGGUAAAGGCUCACCUAGGCGACGAUCCCUAGCUGGUAUGAGGGGAGGAACAGCCACACUGGAACUGAUACACGGUCCAGACUCCGACGGAAGGCAGCAGUGGUGAAUAUUGCACAAUGGGCGCAAUCCGGAUGCAGCCAGGCCGCGUGUAUGAAGAAGGCCUUCGGGUUGUAAAGUACUUUCAGCGGGGAGGCGUUACCCGCAGAAGAAGCACCGGCUAACUCCGUGCCAGCAGCCGCGGUAAUAC